AUUAGGGCAAUACAAUUGAAGUAAAAGUAGGAAAUUAAAUGAGUAAGAAUACACAUGCUGAAAAUUGAAACAAAUUCUGCCCAGCAACAUGACAUACCAGCGGCGGGAAGGGGGCGCUAUCUUUUCGCGUCACUGAGACAAAGGAGACAAAGAUGGAGGUUACGUCGCCUAGUAUGUUGUCAGACCUUACAUCUACCAUUACCACAGAAGACCAAAGUCAACCCCUGAAGUCACUACUCAAGAGGAAAGCCCCACAGAUUCUUAAGGAGUAUGAAACUACAGGUACCCUGUCAGUGCCAUCGAGGAAGCUUCUUGUGAAGACUUGCUUUGGGGAUUUGGUGGAGAGGUGUGGUUAUUACCCUCUUAGUGCAGAGAAGCUAACUGUAGCAAAAAGCAUCAUCACCACUUUUCCAUCCCUGAGUGUCCGAGUGGCAGGACAGGGGGAAGGAUUUGGCAGUGCAGGGCUUUGUAUCUACCACUCCGCUGUGAUACAACGAGCGGUCACGGUCACGUGGCUUUCCGUUGCCCUGGAGCUCCACCCAUUUGUAGUUAGAACAACAGAAGAUGCCUGGGACAGUUCAGCCAUAACUUCAAACUUCUCCUGCUCAUUCAUGCUUGGAAGGAUCUUGUCACUGAAGUGGACGCGCAACGAGAUAUCAUAGCGUGGCUCAAGCACGUUCAUCACAGUUUAAACAUCUUGUUUUGCACAACGGAAUACGGCCUCCUGUCUGCAGCUAAACACCCCAAAAGCUUCUGUAAUGGCUUUAGCCCGGUCGGAUUGGGCAGCAAAGUGCUGCUUAAAUGCCGCAAACUCCUCUGCUCCGCUACUUGGACCGCUAGCGCUGACCAUAACUACCGCUUGACAGACUGACCGCGCGCACCAUGCCAUACUUAUUUUUUCUUUUUCGAAUCUUCGGAUCACGUGCGUGCCGAACCGUGGAGUGGGAUCGGUUCGGAUUUCGGAUCAACCGUGAUCCGUUGCACCACUAAUUAUUAUGAUCCAGUCUCUCAUUGUGGAUUCCUAGAGACUAAACUGCGCAACCUUAAACGGUAUCGCGACCAGGGGCAGAGACGUUAUAAGAAGCAAAAAGUGACAGAUGACUGUGGUGAAGACAAGAAGCUCAGGCAAGAGGAUGGGAAUACCAGCAGCACAGAUGAGUGGGUCACCCUGAUCAAAAGAUUGCGGCCCUCAGCUGAGAACCUUCCAACUAUCAUGUCAGACAUGGAGGAAACAUACACCAGUCGCAGAGCCUGGAUUAGCAAGGACUCCCCCACUGCUGCUGAAAUAUUGAGAGAGUACCCACGGUUUUUGGACAUGCCAAGUCUGCUGGACUUGGAGUUUGGCAAGCUUACAGGAGGAAAGACGGAUCUCUUUUUACGAAAAUGGAAAGCCAGUAUCAUUCCGAAACUCAAAUCAGUAGCUGCCCUGGAAACAAGAAUGUCCUCUCUGUUGAAGGAUUUUGAAGAGAAGACUGAAGAUGAGGCUUGUUACACUGCCCUUGUGGUGUUAACACACCUGCACCCACCAGUUGGUGCCAGUCGUUGCAGCCUUAAAUCAGCUAUAACGCACUUGGUUGAUUUUGCACUGCCUGGAACAAGUAUUGCAUCGCUUUGCAUUGAUCCUGAAGCAUCAUCCACAACACACCAACCCCAGCUGAUAUGCAUCUGUAACCCAUGUCAACUACUCCCUGUCAAAUGACUCAAGCCAGCUGAUUUGAGGCCCCUCUCCUGAUUGGCUCCUUCCACAUCGCGGCAACUAUGAAUACGGCCGUGGAGGGAUACUUCCGGGUUCGACUCCUGCUGUGGCUGUAAGCUUAUGUCGUGUGGAACCGCGUUGGAAAACAAAGCGUUUUUCUCCCGUAAACCCGUCUAUAAAAUUGUAUCACCUCAGCGGUCAGGUUUUUUUUUCCCUUUAAAUUGAUCUUCUUCAUAUUGAAGUGGCGAGCCGGUAGGACCAUUCUUUGUUUUUCCCCCCCCCCGCUUUGCCGUCUAUGGAUUACGGACAUAUUUUUUCCCCAUUGUAUGAAACUGGACCCUAAGGAGGAAUACCUUAAGAAGUGAACUUUAAAAAGAAAAGGACUCUUAACAAAAGGACUCUUGCACAGAAAAUCACAGCAAUUGAUUUAUUAUUUGUUACUCAAUUAUUUGAUUGUGGGCAUUUAUUUAUGUUGUGUGUUGUAUUGAUUAUUUUGGUCCAUUUCCCCUUUCCCCCAUUUAUUUAAUAUAUUUUUGGUACAAGAUAUUGCAGUCUUUGGUCUCGUCAUUCACACUAUCUAGGCUCCAUAAAGAACCAUUUCUUCUGCGUGUCAGUCAGUAAACUUACCCAUUGCAAU
ensembl:lncRNA